rnacentral:lncRNA from 1 species
UCGAUGUUGAGGUCGGAGUGUCGAUCGGUUCUGAGCUCAUGUCACUAAUAUCGACUUCUUCUAUUCUGCUCAGCUCUCCAGACACAUGUUGUUCAUCAUCUUCCACCAUAUAUUCCAUCAUAGAUUUCAUCUCAAUCUCUAGACUUGCUGCAGCAUCAUAGAGAAACUUGUUGACGAAAGCGUUUGCAAUGUCAUUCCAAGCAUUGAGAGAUCCU